GCAAUGACUUUAAUAGAUACUAUUGAUUUCCAAUAAAAGAGAUCUCUUAGUAUACCAUUGAUUUCCUAAAUUCCCUCACCAAAUUUAUUAAACCUUUCUGAUGAUCAGUGCUGCCUUUUUCUGAUUGAAUCAUCUCACCUGGAGUUCAACGUCUUUCUUCCUUCCAAGGAUGUUUGCUGGUUGUUGACGAACUGUAGAAUUUGUACUUGGUCCCUUCGCUUCUGGGCUUCUUUCUUUGAAGGGUACUGCUCCGUACGAUCGAGUUCUCACAGCUUGUAUUGCUACCAACUUCAAUUAUCAUCUCUGUCACACAGCUGCAAGGGCAUUCUUUUGAAGAGACAAUAUCAGAUUAUCAGACCAGAAGGCCACAGAAGAAAAAGGAGAAAAUGGUUCUACCAAAGGGUCCAUUCUGGGAGCAUGUUGAGGAGAUACCUGGCGGUCGUAGGCGGUGUAAGUUUUGUGGGCAUUUAUUAUCCAAUCAAAUUCCGAUCACCAGGUUCAAGCAUCAUAGGUCAGGAGUUCAAAGCGGUGGCGUUACAAUUUGUGACAAAGUUCCACAAGAUGUUCAAGCCACAUUGUCAGCUGCUGUUGAUGGUCCUCCAGAAAAGAAACGUAAAACCACAGCAACGUCAAACAAUGAUGGGGCUUACAACACAAUGUCAACUUCUUUGCUAGAGCAAAACAGUGAAGUUGGAAACGUAGUGACCGAUGCAGAAACGGAACCAGAAUGGUAUUUUUACUCACCUGGAGAACUAGAAUUCGUGCAGAUGAACAUGGGAAAUUUUCAGCUUGAUAGGGUUUGUAGUUUUCCUAGAGACCUGAUCCCUGUUGCACCAGGGACUGCUGUGGGAAGGGAGCAAGUGGAGCAAGAUUGUGAAAGAAAUACUCGGGACAACAUAACUUUUUCCUUGGAGGAUCAUGAUAAUGAGGGCAUGAUCAUGGGAUUGAACCAGCUUGUUGUGAGAGGUGGCUCUCCUGAGAGGCUUACAGCUAAUGAAGAUGAGCCUAGAGGAGAUUCGUCCCAACCAGCAGAUCUACAAUGUCUUGGCCUUGAAAGAAAUUAUGAUCAACAAUGUUCUUCCUCAGUGAACAAUGAUGUCAUGAUGAUUGAUGUGGAGAAUAUGAUUAGAGAACAUGUGCAGCCUGCUGCGAGAGAUAGGUCUCUUAGAGGUCUUCAAUGCAAUGGUGAUGAGAGCAGGGGAGAUUCAUUUCCAGAUAAGAAGCUAGUAGGAGGGGAGUUUGAAGAAAAUAAAAGAAGACAUAUUAGAUAUAGAGACCAGAUUAGAAGUGCAAAUAAUGCAUUAAGAGAAUUAAGACUGAAUAUAAGACGAUUUAAAUUAGAAUUAAGACCAGCUAUAGAUUUUAUGAGAUACUUGACCCCUUAUUGGACUCAAUCUGAGAUAGAUGAAAUUUCAGAACAAAUAGCAGUAUUAAGUAGCAGAAUAGCUGUAUUUCAAGAAAGGAUAGAACACAUAGAAUUCAUGUAUAAUUGUAAUAAUAUAGGAUGAAUACAUUCAGGUUGUCAGCUAGUAAUCUAACCAGUCCAGAGAGUUUUGUUAAUAAUAAUCAGAAGUUUUAUAGUAGUCAAUAUUGCGAGUACACUAGAUAUUGUACGAGGUUUAGUAAUCAUUGUAUAUAGUACGAGAUAUAGGAGGAGGAAACCAAUUAAUGCUUGGGUACAUGAACAUGCAGAACAAUUGCCUGUCCCGUGCUCUAUUUGGGAAGGGUGUAAAGUUCUGAUUGAAACUGGACUGGCCUAUCAGGCAGAAAAAUUGCCUGGGAGCAGCUAGAGGUUUGGAUUACCUCCAUGAAGAGUCAAUAAUAAAAAUUGGGCAUGGGGAUAUCAAAACAAGCAAUGUGUUUCUUGAUAAGGAACUCAAUGCCAAAAUUUCUGAUUUUGGUUUGGCAAAGCUAAAUGAAGAUGGACAGUACCCACAUCGGCACUCGGAUUGCUGGAACCAUUGGUUAUAUGGCUCCUGAGUAUGCAAUGCGUGGCUACUAAACUAACAAAGAAAAUGUUUGUAGCUUUGGAGUUGUUGCUUUGGAAAUUGUAAGUGGUAAGAUCAACAAAAACUACAGGCCAAAGGAUGAGUUUGUUUACCUUCUUGACCGAGCCUAUGUUUUGCAAGAGAGUGGAAGUCUUUCGGAGGUGGUAGAUCCAGAAUCGGGGUCAGAGUAUUCUUCAGAGGAGGCUAUGGUGAUGCUAAAUGUCGCUCUCUCAAGCACCAAAGCAAAUUCUUGUGAAUCUUGUUGCAGCUGAUUAGCCUAUAUGAUGUAGAACAGAGUUAAAGCUGCAAAGAGAAAGGGAGUGAAUGACUCUGGCAGUACCUGAUGGAACAUAAAAUGAUGCUUAUGCAAAGAGAAAUUGGACAUAUACAUUUGUCAAGCAGAAUGUUUGGUGCAUCCAUUAUUGAUCAUGUAGAAAGCAUCAAAUCCUUAUUCGAAAAACAUGGCCAAAUCAAUUUUUUUUGAAGCUUAAUUAUUGAGGACAGACACAAAUCCUGUUUCAUUUCAAUUAAUCAGUUGUAACGGAUUCGGCAUAAUUAUUGCUAAGAUAUUUCUUUUCUUUCCCAUCAA